rnacentral:rRNA from 1 species
CGUAGGGGGCAAGCGUUGUCCGGAUUUAUUGGGCGUAAAGCGCUCGCAGGUGGUCCGAUGCGUCGUGCGUGAAAGACCCUGGCUCAACUGGGGGGUGUCGUGCGAUACGGUCGGACUGGAGGCCAGUAGGGGGAUGCGGAAUUCCGGGUGUAGUGGUGGAAUGCGUAGAGAUCCGGAGGAACACCAGCGGCGAAGGCGGCAUCCUGGACUGGUCCUGACACUCAUGAGCGAAAGCGUGGGGAGCGAUCCGGAUUAGAUACCCGGGUAGUCCACGCUGUAAACGAUGCGUACUAGGUGUCGGAGGUAUCGACCCCCUCGGUGCCGCAGCUAACGCGAUAAGUACGCCGCCUGGGGACUACGGCCGCAAGGCUA